GAAACCGCCCAGAGGUAAACGGGUGGAUCCGCAAAGUCGGCCCGUGGAAUUCAGCGUGUGCGGAGGGUCCGGGAAUCGGGCCGGGGAUCUUCGGACCCCGCCCAGCUCUCGACUGGGCCCGACGCCGCGUGCACUUUCCGCGGGCAGAGCGCCACGACCGGUUUCGCGGCGGCGAUAAGCCCGUUCGGAUGCGUGGCACGAUCUCACGGUCGUGCUACGGCCGCUCGCGGUGAGCCGCUGUCGGGACCGAGGAACGGCCGCGUGCUUCGAGGCUGCCCGGCCUCGCUGGGGAGUUCGACUGGCAGGGACUGGGCAACCGUGCCUGCCGACUGCUCCGCGGUGCCGGUUCGGGACAGCCGGGCGCGUCAGGGGGUCGGGUGCGGAGUUCCC
rnacentral:rRNA from 1 species